rnacentral:lncRNA from 10 species
CCUAGAGCCCAGCUGAACAACAAGGCUUUGGGUGUGAAGGGACUCCCCAGCCUGGAGACCCUAUUUGGCUGAAACAGUUACAAAAUAUCAAAUGUGUUGUCAGAUAUUCCUCCAAUUGUUCACAUAGCUGGGAUAUUUGUUGCUCCCCUCACCCCUUGGAUUAUGUAGGGAGCCAGUGCACACAGCCUGUUUGUUUUAGUAUCCAAGGAAGAGACCAAGGAGCCAGCUGGCGGGAAGGGGUGGGGGUGUGCAGUCUGCCCUGUCCUUCUGCUCAUAACCUGACAAAAUGCCAAACUAGUAAGCAGGAUAGCUGAUACCACGGCUAUGAGGGAGUAGGCUCUGAGAGGGCACAGACUUGUGGAGCUGGGCGUCUGGAUCAAAACUGCUUUGGGAUGGAACCUCGAGCCCUAGCAGUGAAGAAGAUUCCAUUUCUUGUCCAGGGGAUUUAAAAGAGUUUUCUGCUUUGAGAGAGAAAUAGAGAGUUUAGAAAGCAAUUGCUCUUGGGAAAGCUAUACACAGCUCUGUUUUGUCAAUGACCUUUGUUGUAAGUCUCCCAACGUCCUAUUAGGAGCCACAGCAGGUGAGGCAUUUGGUGCAGCAGGAAACAUGGGGACUGCCUAGGCUCGAAUCUGUGGCACCCUGAGCAAUUACUUAAAUUGUGGAGCCUAGUUCCUCAUCUGUAAGAUGGACUUGAGAUUCCUACCUCUCAUGAUUACUAUGGAGAUUGAAUAAUUGGUAAAAUUCUCCUAGCUCAGUGACUGCCACAGGAUGGGUCUUUCAGAUUUUGGUUCUCUUUAGCUUCUGGUUCUUGAAAGAAAUUAAUCUGUAUAUAACAUAAGAAACUUUGAAAGUCAAAAAAACAAAAAAUUUUAAUUCCUCGUAGAUUAAUUGAUUUGCUAUCUUUUAGUUUUUUUUUCUAUGCAUGUAGAUGUAUUAAAUAUGUAAAUGUUUUUCAAAGUUGAGGUAAUAUUGUAUAGAAUUUUAUAGCCUACAUUUUAAUUUCUUGAUAUCUUAAGCAUUUCACUUAUUAGAUAUUGUUCAAAAAUGCCAUUUUUAAUAUUUGUAUAAUACCCUAUCAUGUGAGUAUACCUUAACUAAGCCAUUCCCAUAUUCAACAUUUUGUGU